CACACACACCACACAUAAUUCAUUGAUUAUAAUGUUUUUCCUCCAUCUAUGGCCUCUCUCUGAAUCAUAAUUGGCUCUGUUUUUCUGUGGUCACCAUGAAAUUUGUACCCUUAACUGUGCAAAACUGAAACUAAAAGUUGGAAGAAAAUCCUUAACAUGCAUGUAAAAGAUUCGGAACUAAUUGGAUGUGGAAAUUUCAGGAAAAUUCAGGAUAUGAUCUCUCAGACUCUAGCAUUAAUUCAUACAAUUUGUCACUUGUGUCUGUUUUAACAAUCAGGUUUUUGCUUCCAUGAAUUCCUUGGAAUGCAUCCAAAACAGGCUGAAGCUAUGACUUGUUGGAGACUUCUCCUCACCCACAAUUCUCAGAUAGGAUGAAUUAUCCACUCACAUUAUCCAUGAUAAAGUUUUGAAGGCUGGUGGCCCUGUUUAGGAUUAGAUCAAGGUGAAGGAGAAAAGAAAGGGAGAGAGAUGAAUCUCUUUGGGCACAUUCCAUG